CGUGGUAAUUCUAGAGCUAAUACAUGCUGAAAACCCCGACUUCGGAAGGGGUGUAUUUAUUAGAUAAAAAACCAACGCCCUUCGGGGCUUCUUGGUGAUUCAUAAUAACUUUACGGAUCGCAUGGCCUUGCGCCGGCGACGGUUCAUUCAAAUUUCUGCCCUAUCAACUUUCGAUGGUAAGGUAUUGGCUUACCAUGGUUUCAACGGGUAACGGGGAAUUAGGGUUCGAUUCCGGAGAGGGAGCCUGAGAAACGGCUACCACAUCCAAGGAAGGCAGCAGGCGCGCAAAUUACCCAAUCCCGACACGGGGAGGUAGUGACAAUAAAUACUGAUACAGGGCUCUUUUGGGUCUUGUAAUUGGAAUGAGUACAAUUUAAACCUCUUAACGAGGAACAAUUGGAGGGCAAGUCUGGUGCCAGCAGCCGCGGUAAUUCCAGCUCCAAUAGCGUAUAUUAAAGUUGUUGCAGUUAAAAAGCUCGUAGUUGAAACUUGGGUCUGGCUGGCAGGUCCGCCUCACCGCGUGUACUUGUCCGGCCGGGCCUUCCUUCUGGAGAACCUCAUGCCCUUCACUGGGCGUGUUGGGGACCAGGACUUUUACUUUGAAAAAAUUAGAGUGUUCAAAGCAGGCCUUUGCUCGAAUACGUUAGCAUGGAAUAAUAGAAUAGGACGUGCGUUCCUAUUUUGUUGGUUUCUAGGAACGCCGUAAUGAUUAAUAGGGACAGUCGGGGGCAUCAGUAUUCAAUUGUCAGAGGUGAAAUUCUUGGAUUUAUUGAAGACUAACUACUGCGAAAGCAUUUGCCAAGGAUGUUUUCAUUAAUCAGUGAACGAAAGUUAGGGGAUCGAAGACGAUCAGAUACCGUCGUAGUCUUAACCGUAAACUAUGCCGACUAGGGAUCGGGCGAUGUUCUUUUUCUGACUCGCUCGGCACCUUACGAGAAAUCAA
rnacentral:rRNA from 1 species